AGAGCUGACCAGCCAGUCGCGUGAAGGAAGACUGCCCUAUGGGUUGUAAACUUCUUUUGUGAGGAAAGAAAAAGGGGAUGUAUCCUCUCUUGCAAGUACUGUACGAAAAAGCAUCGGCUAACUCCGUGCCAGCAGCCGCGGUAAUACGGAGGAUGCGAGCGUUAUCCGGAUUUAUUGGGUUUAAAGGGUGCGUAGGCGGUUUUUUAAGUCAGCGGUGAAAGUUUGAGGCUCAACCUUAAAAUUGCCGUUGAAACUGGGGGACUUGAGUGUAGAUGAAGUAGGCGGAAUUUGUGGUGUAGCGGUGAAAUGCAUAGAUAUCACGAGGAACUCCGAUUGCGAAGGCAGCUUACUAAACUACAACUGACGCUGAGGCACGAAAGUGUGGGUAUCAAACAGGAUUAGAUACCCUGGUAGUCCACACAGUAAACGAUGAUUACUAGUUGUUUGCGAUAUGAUAGUAAGUAACUAAGCGAAAGCGAUAAGUAAUCCACCUGGGGAGUACGCCGGCAACGGUGAAACUCAAAGGAAUUGACGG
rnacentral:rRNA from 1 species